GAGUCACGGAUGGAUCCAUUAUAUGAUCCUUGAACCAGAACCUCACAUCUUACUGUUCCAGCACGCGCUACCCAAGAAGCCAAAAGAAUGAAGCUGGCAAGCCACUUUUCAGCCUCAAGCUUUACGCAGCUGUCGUUACUGCCUGACGUCCUUCUGCUAACAUUAUUAUGUUGCCUUCUUGUUUCUCACUUUGAUAUUUAAAAGAUGUUCAAUACACUGUUCGAAUGCGCCGGUAACUGCUUUGCUUUUUGAAUAGCCACCAACACAGCCCAGCCAGAUGAGUGCUCAGUGGAUCCACAGCCUCUGCUGAAUGUGACGCCAGAAGCCACAUCCAGAACACUGUAUCUGAAGCUCUAUACAGAAGCUCUGUAUCCAGAACACACUUGGCAGAUGGAGGAAGCAUCCGAGAUUAAGCCCAUGGCUGCUACGGGGAUCGUGCAUCAGAAGCUGCCCAGACCUUUAAUGGUGAGGGUUUGGAAGUGCCAUACAGGAGGAAGAGUUUUUGAGGGCCCACCCCAACCACACUGCUUUGUCAGCACAUGUACUUCUCUGAGAUAUGGCUGAACUCCAGAUCCAGCUUUCAUUGACAUGAUUCUCAUUAAAAUGGAUUCCUCAGGGUGGAAUCUCCUGGUCAAGAGAUCGGGAAUGCAUAUUUCUAAUGGAUGCUGCC
rnacentral:lncRNA from 1 species